AUUAACGUUGGUAGCAUGCCUAACAUAUGCAAGUCGAGCGAAAAGUAGUAGCAAUAUUACUUUUAGCGGCGUACGGGUGAGUAAUGCUUAUCUUACCUACCGUUUAGUGGGGGAUAAAAUACCGCAUAUUCUGGUUUUGGCCAGGAAAGGAAGUCGUAAGGCUUUCGCUAAAUGACGGGGAUAAGUCGCAUCAGCCGAUGAAAGUAGGGUAAUAGCCUACUGAGGCAAUGACGCGUAGCCGGGCUGAGAGGCUGAUCGGCCACAAGGGAACUGAAACACGGCUCCUACUCCUACGGGAGGCAGCAAUGGGGAAUCGUCGGCAAUGGGGGAAACCCUGACCGCGCAAUGCUACGUGAAGGAAGAAGGUCCAUAGAUUGUAAACUUCUUUACUAAAGGGUACUGACGCAAGGAUUGCCCUUUGGCAAAAAGUCACGACUAACUACGUGCCAGCAGUCGCGGUAAGACGUAGGUGGCGAACGUUAUCCGGAAUUAUUGGGCGUAAAGGGUGCGUAGGUGGCCUGACAAGUUAUCAGUGGCAAAUCGAGGCUCAACCUCGUGGAAACUGGUAAUACUGUUCGGCUUGAGUACAGGAGAGGUUAACGGAACUCUAUGUGGAGCGGUAAAAUGCCCAGAUAUAUAGAAGAACAUCAUUAAGGGCGAAGGCAGUAAACUAUUCUGUUACUGACGCUGAGGCACGAAAGCGUGGGGGAGCAAAACGGAUUAGAUACCCGUGUAGUCCACGCCCUAAACGAUGAGUACUAGAUGUUGGGAACUUGAUUCUCAGUGUCGCUAGGUAACCCGGUAAGUACUCCGCCUGGGUAGUACGCUCGCAAGAGUGAAACUCAAAGGAAUUGACGGGGACUCGCACAAGCAGUGGAGCAUGUGGUUUAAUCCGAUACAACGCGUAGAACCUUACCAAGGCUUGACAUGUAAGGUAGCAAUACUAAGUUAGGGAAACCUAGUUGAAUUACACAGGUGCUGCAUGGCCGUCGUCAGUUCGUGCCGUGAGGUGUAUGGUUAAGUCCUAUAACGAACGUAACCCUUGGGCUUAGUUGCCAGCAUUCAGUUGGGGACUCUAGGCCGACUGCAGAUAUGUUUUGCAUAUCUUACUGAGUAAUCAGGAGGAAGGAAAGGAUGACGUCUGGUCGUCAUGGCCCUUAUGUCUUGGGCGACACACGUGCUACAAUGGUUAGUACAAAGCGUUGCCAACCCGCGAGGGGGAGCUAAUCGCAAAAAACUAACCUCAGUUCGGAUUGGAGGCUGCAACUCGCCUCCAUGAAUGUCGGAAUUGCUAGUAAUCGCAAAUCAGCCAUGUUGCGGUGAAUACGUUCUCGA
rnacentral:rRNA from 1 species